UACGAAGGGGGCUAGCGUUGCUCGGAAUUACUGGGCGUAAAGGGCGCGUAGGCGGACAGUUAAGUCAGAGGUGAAAGCCCAGGGCUCAACCCUGGAAUUGCCUUUGAUACUGGCUGUCUUGAGUAUGGGAGAGGUGAGUGGAACUCCGAGUGUAGAGGUGAAAUUCGUAGAUAUUCGGAAGAACACCAGUGGCGAAGGCGACUCUCUGGUCUGUAACUGACGCUGAGGCGCGAAAGCGUGGGGAGCAAACAGG
rnacentral:rRNA from 1 species